ensembl:lncRNA
CAAUGCAAAGCACCUCAUGAAUGCUAAUCUAAAUAUUAAUGAGCCUUGCAUUCACUUGUGCGUUGUUACACUGCAUAAUGGCGACAGGUGAGAAAAGAGCAAAAAAAAACGUAAUUUCUCAGACACUGACAUACACAUACUUGUAGGGGAGGUGGAGGCCCGGAAAACAACAUUAUUUGGUGGCCACAGCAGUGGGAUCACUAAUAAAAAGAAGCAGUGCGAGUGGCAACGUGUUGCUGCUUCUGUCAACUGCAUCAGUGGGACAGAACAGACAGUUGCAGAACUAAAGGAAAAGUGGUCCGAUCUGAAGUUAUAUAAUGGUAGAGUACUUGAUGCUAUCCUGUACUCCAUCCUGCCCUGCCAUCUCCACCUGCACUCCCUCGCACUGUUGUACAAAUAUGUCUUAGUGAAAAGAAAAAGAAGAAGAAGAAGAAGAAGAAGAAGAAGAAGAAGAAGAAGAAGAAGAAGAAGAAGAAAGUCUGGUCAGCAUUCUAUUAAGAGAGUUAACUUAAAGUCUAAGGGACAGUCUCAAGCCUCCCUGUUUUCAUUCAAAAUAUCUUAAAUUGUGUUCCGAAGACGAACGAAGCUUUUACAGGUCUGGAUCGACAUGGGGGAGAAAAAAAUGUAAGAAGGUUGAAUCCAUGCUUGACAAACUCCUGUCUCAACAUCUCCACAGGCCUCUUCCUUUGUUUUGUUGUUCUGGACCACCAUGCCAACAUUUGAAAUUCAUCUGCACCUUCUACCUCUCCUUCCACCCUGUUGUCCACUUCCUCUAUAUCCAUGUCUUCUUACAGUGUCUCCUCAUGCUCUUUCCACUACACCAAUACCCUCUUCUCUAAUCAUCUCUUCUCCAUUUCCUUCUCCUCUCCUCUUCUCUUUUCUCACAUCUUCCUCUCUGCUCAUCUCUUUCUAGCUGUUUCACUCUUCAUCUUCUCUUUCAUUAUGCCCCUUUCUCUACCCACUCUACCACCUUGUAGACUUACACCUUUCUUUAACC